UAAAAGUUUUAUUCUUGCUUAGUUGUUUACUUAUUGUAUGUUUUACAUGUAAGUUUUUGUGAAUGUAUAUUACUUAAAUAGUGUAUGUAGUUUGCAGUAUUUAAUAUUAUUGAUCAAGGGAACUUGGAAAUAGUAAUAUAAUAUGUAGUCGGCYAAAGUCGUGCCAGCUGCCGCGGUUAUACGUAGGAUUAAAGUGAACAUUAUUAGUAUAGAAGUUAAUAAGUUUGAUUAAAUUUGAGGUAAAUUUUUAAGGUAGAAUUUUGAAUUUAUGGAAAAUUUUUUUAUUGAUAUGAAGCUUUGAAAUUUGAACUAUAAACUAGGAUUAGAUACCCUAUUAUUUUAAAUGUAAAUANUUUUACUUGAGUAGUAAUAGAUAAGUUCUUGAAACUCAAAGAAUUUGGCGGUGUUUUAGUCUUUUCAGAGGAAUCUGUCCCGUAAUCGAUGAUACACGUUAUAAUCUACUUAAUUUUGUGUUCAGUUUGUAUACCGCCGUCGUAAGAUUAUUUUUAUAGAAAGGUAAUUUUCUUAAAUUCAAAUUAGAGUUUAUGUCAGGUCAAGGUGCAGCUUAUGAUUAAGUGAGAGAUGGAUUACAAUAAAAAAAUUUAAAUGGAUCUUGCAUUGAAAAAGAGUGCUUUUGAAGGUGGAUUUGAAAGUAAUAUUGUUAUAUUAUGAUAAUAUGAUUUUAGCUCUAAAACAUGCACACAUCGCCCGUCGCUCUCAUUAUUAAGGUGAGAUAAGUCGUAACAUAGUAGAUGUACUGGAAAGUGUAUCUAGAAUGCA
rnacentral:ncRNA from 1 species